UACAGAGGCCCCAAGCGUUACCCGGAAUCACUGGGCGUAAAGGGUGUCCAGACGGCCAUAUUAGUCGUUCGUAAAAUCCACGGGCUUAACCUGUGGCUCGCGAACGAAACGGUAUGGCUUGAGGGUGGGAGAGGUGCGUGGAACUCACGGUGUAGGGGUGAAAUCCGUUGAUAUCGUGGGGAACACCAAAGGCGAAGGCAGCGCACUGGCCCAUUCCUGACGUUCACACACGAAAGCCAGGGUAGCGAACGGG
rnacentral:rRNA from 1 species